CGAGAACAAUGUGAAACAAAUGCAUUAAUUCACAGAAUUAUACGUACUUACAUUUGCAUACUAGUUUACGUACUAUGACUGCAAGUUCUAUUAAUUUAACGUUAUUGGGUCUCGAACAUUUUUGCAACAUUUUUGAAGAUAACUUAAUGUUUGCUUUGUUCCGUAUCUAUAAAUCAAACGAUCGUAUUAUUUCGCUCUAUAUAUUAUACGUUUCAAAGAAAUAAUCCUGUUACGAGAAGCAUGUACGUCGAGAAAUAUAAUCCAAGCGUACAUUUGCGUCGAUAUUGUCUAAGAAAUUCAGGAAAGAACGUGGAGCGUUUCAGAGGGAAUUAUUGAGAAUUAUUGACAUUUGAAAUUCUGUUAUAAAUUUGCAAACACGAUAUAACAGCCUACGCGAAAAUCUCGCGACAGCCAUUGAUAAAUAAAGUAGAAAAUAUUUUCAAGCUCUAGUUACGGCUUUACAACACGAUCUGUUAUCACCUAAAUAUGUAUCUUUACGGCCAUCACGACGUAAAAAGAAACAAACUGAAUGAAAGCGAAAUUUACAAUUUCCCCCCGCAGGAAUAGACGAUCAUACGCAUUUUAACAUAUUCGCCACGAUAUAUCUUCUUCUCUGCUGGCAUCAAUCUCACCACUCCAGUUCUAAAGAGUUAGUUAAACUAAUUACACGGUGGAAGGAACAACAGGCACAUUUGAACCAGUGCGCAUAAUUCAAAUGGUUUCGCAUGAGCUGCAAUCGCGUAGAAACUGCUAUAACGAGAAGCACGACAAACGGAAUUUUCCUUUGCAAAAUUCGUUCAACAUGUCGCCCAACUUUCACCUGUGAAAACGGACGAACGUUUCCGGUGAAAGGAGCAGUCUUCCGAGAUUUCCGCUGGCGAGAUUACGAAUUCAAGAAGAAAUCCGCACGAACGCCACGACGCGAAUGGCAUCGCUAUGCUAAGAAAAGAAAAAUCAUGAUACUCGGUUUCCUGGCAACGAUCGAUCGCUGCAAAGAAGAACAACUCCGCCUUAGAUUAGACGAACGAAAUUGGUUCGCGUGGUGUUAUUGAUGGAAGAAGCAGCAUAAGUGCCGUUGUCAAAGCCGUUCGACGAAGACUUAAGAUGACCCUCGACCGACCAGUGCAAAAGGUACCUGACGAAGGACGCAAAGUUCCAUUGAUUCUACGCGAAUUUAGUAAAUCACGAUACGCAAUAAUAUAAUAAUAUAAUAAUAUAAUAAUAAUAAUAAUAAUAUAAUAAUAAACCGAUACGCAAAUCGCUAUAAAUAAUGACGAGCAAGUACCAGCCGUUUGAAAAUCCAUUAAAAAACGAUUACGUUAGACGCUAUAAGACUAUGUUAACGCUUUGCGGACUAGAGACGCGAAUUUGCGUCUUACACACUUUGUACGGCAUCCUAUAAAAAUGUUAACUACCGUUAAAUAAAACAGUAAAAAAAAAAUGCAAUGGAUGCUAUAAACGAAAUGUCGUGAAAGUGUUUUUACGUUACAUGGUCGAAUAACACGAAACCGUUAUCAAUGUAUUAGAUAUAAUAUCAAUUGCUAGGAAAGUUCGUUUCGGCUUUUAAGGAAUUUGAUAGAAUAAUAAAUGUUGCUUAGUAACUCUGCAUCGGGCAAAUUGUUUUCAAGCGUUAGCAGAAGUAUCUUUAAAUACGCUUAUUGAUUUUUAAUAAAAUAUUAUACUUGUUAAAUGCUGCUGGGAAAGUUCGUACCGAUUUUUAACUCUUCGGUCGACAUAAAAAAUCAUAUUGAAAAGUUCUUCUCCGAAGAACCUGAGAGGUUCUGGAAGGAUGGGAACAUCCAAGUCGCGUGAAAGAUGGAGAAAGGUUGUGGCAACAACAACAACAAAAUACCAUCUAUACAAUUCAAUAAAUGUACAUGGAAUCGAAACGUAAAUCGGAAGGAACUUUCCCAGCGACUGUUCGAAUCUUUUCAAUCGUAGCAAAAAUAUUCAGGCUACGGUCCUCAAAGUAUCAAAAAAGAUAGAAUACUAUAUAAAACCGCAGUCGUGAUUCAAUGGAUUCUUUGAUUACGGAGGAAUGCGCCCGCUCGAAAUUUCUCGACUCUUAUCGAUCGUUAUCACGAAAUAAGACAUAGAUAAAAGACGCACGGUACCAAACUGUCGUAAUGACUCACUGAAGCUGUUACAGGAAUGCCAUCUUACCUGUUUUUUCAGUUGCCUUUCUUUUCUUUUUUUUUUUUUUCGUGCACUAGCUAAAAGAAGAAGUGGCAAGAGAAUCUUGUUUCUAUAAACUGGAAUUGGCAAUCCUGAACAGCGGACAAUAUCGUGGUGGAAAAAUAAUCUAGACACAUCCUUUCGGAUUUAUCGUUCCGCUAAUUGGAUGACAGUCACUGAAUCGAACAAAAGUCGUCACGUACCGGUGCACCGUUGUCGCACAAAGUACAAGCCACCGUGACAGAAUUUUGAAAACGCCCACGCGAAUCGAAGCGGUGCCCUCUCAAGCGACACGUUGCGCGUUCACCUCGAUGAAAUCGCUGGUAAAUGAUUUUUAUCGGCAUGAACGAGCCGCUAGAACUCCUUUCGUGGAAAGUGAAUACGAUGAACAACGUGUGUGUGCCGAGUUAUCACGUUCGGUAAAACGUAGUGUUACAUUUUUAGAAUAGAUCUUAGCUUACGGUGAAUUUACAGAUAUUCUUCGAUCGUUAUAUUUUGUAAGUCAUCCGUGAAAUAUAUAUACAGCACUACGUUUUUUUAGAACAAAUUUCAGCUCACAUACGUAUACAUAUAGAUAUAAUAGUCGAUGAGCGUAAUAUUCGUAGAAACCUUUUACAAGAAUAAUGUAACUUGACCAAUACGAUCUCGACAAUCGGGUCUUGUUAUAUCGUUAAUGAAAUUUCCAAAUGUUCUAUAUAACAUACACAUCGUAUAGAUGUAGAAGUUUUCUACGAUAAAAGUUUAAAUACCUUCACGAGACACUAUACGUACGAUAUUUUAAAUAUUUUUGAAUUACGUAAUGGUACGUUUUUUCUUUUCUAGAUUUCAUACUAUCAAGUACAGAUUACAUUUUGAAGAUAAUUUAAAGUUACGUAUGUAAAGUGUAGUAAUACUCUAUAGUCGCCAAAUAUAGUAAGAAAUUAUAAGGUCGAUAGCAUAUUGUAAAACAUUUCCAAAGGCAAAGCGCUUUCCUCGCUACCUAAGACAUCUAAAUCACGUUACACCGCUUGCCAAUUAUCGAUGACCCUGAAUAGCACAAUGCUGCGAUAAGUUAGUGCAUUAAUAAGUAUUAAUGCUCGAAAUGAGCGACUCAAACUGAUUAUGUAUGGGAACUUUUCUCUUCCCUUCCAGUUACACUUUUUCAUUUGCUAAUCGCUGUACCUUCUUUUCUAUUUCAUUUUAUUUUUCUUUCUCUUUUUUUUUUUUUUUUUUUUUUAGAAGUCGAUCGGAUAAUUUUAAAGGAGAAUUCAUAAGUGCAAA